UACGUAGGGUGCGAGCGUUAAUCGGAAUUACUGGGCGUAAAGCGUGCGCAGGCGGUCUGUUAAGACAGAUGUGAAAUCCCCGGGCUCAACCUGGGAACUGCAUUUGUGACUGUAUAGCUAGAGUACGGAAGAGGAGGGCGGAAUUCCCGGUGUAGCGGUGAAAUGCGCAGAGAUCGGGAGGAACACCCGUAGCGAAGGCGGCACUCUGGGCCGGUACUGACGCUGAGGAGCGAAAGCGUGGGGAGCAAACAGGAUUAGAAACCC
rnacentral:rRNA from 1 species